rnacentral:lncRNA from 1 species
CUAGUUUGCCAAUUUAUGACAGCCGACAAAUAAUUUCAAAUUAAUAGCCAAGUAGAGAUAAGCAUCAAGGAGGUGGACCGUCCACCUCAAAUAGAAAAUAAACAAAAGCAGCAACAAGAUAUUUGGCAACUAAGGUCUUUCUCUAGCUAUUGCUUCCUUUUUUUUUUAAUUCUUAUUUGUUCAUCACAUCACUGUAGAUAUCUUUCUCUUCUUCAUUUCCUGGG